UGAGUAACACAUCGGAACAUGCCUAGUCGUGGGGGAUACCGUAGCGAAAGUUACGUUAAUACCGCAUACGUCCUGAGGGAGAAAGCAGGGGAUUCGCAAGAACCUUGCGCGAUUAGAGUGGCCGAUGCCUGAUUAGCUUGUUGGUGGGGUAAAGGCCUACCAAGGCGACGAUCAGUAGCGGGUCUGAGAGGAUGAUCCGCCACACUGGAACUGAGACACGGUCCAGACUCCUACGGGAGGCAGCAGUGGGGAAUUUUGGACAAUGGGGGCAACCCUGAUCCAGCCAUUCCGCGUGAGUGAAGAAGGCCUUCGGGUUGUAAAGCUCUUUCAGCGGGAACGAAACGGUACGCUCUAACAUAGUGUGCUAAUGACGGUACACGCAGAAGAAGCACCGGCUAACUACGUGCCAGCAGCCGCGGUAAUACGUAGGGUGCGAGCGUUAAUCGGAAUUACUGGGCGUAAAGCGUGCGCAGGCGGCUUUUUAAGCCAGACGUGAAAUCCCCGGGCUUAACCUGGGAAUGGCGUUUGGAACUGGAAGGCUAGAGUGUGUCAGAAGGGGGUAGAAUUCCACGUGUAGCAGUGAAAUGCGUA
rnacentral:rRNA from 1 species